rnacentral:sRNA from 1 species
AAUGAAUGAUGUUUUUUGAAUCUUAAAAACUUAUUUAUGCAAUCUAUGAUGAGACCCUCUAUUGGUUAUUUCCGCUGCUUAUUAUCUCUAUGACUUGAUGUGUGCUUGUGAGUUUUCUUUUAGGGGUUUCUUGCAGGAUUGCUUGAAUUGACAAAUUGUAUCAAAAAGGGGGAGAUUGUUAGUGCACCCUCUAUCAGGACAGACCAGAAGGAGUGCUGAUUGCUGGAACAAGCUGGAAGCUGUUUCAGAAGACUAAAGUGAAGAUCAAGUAAUUGAUGCUGACGUGGAUAUAUCGCCAAAUGAACGAAUGACGUGGAAAUCACAACAGGAUGAGUUCAGUUUGGAGAGGAGAUAUUCGCGCGAAGAUUUGGUGUGAUCCAAGAUCUCGAAGGCUAACCUAGAAGACCAAAGACCUCGAUAGUAUAAAUAGAGGUGCUAAGGUUCUUGUUAGACUUGGCCGUGAUAGUUGUGAAAAGUAAGUGCAAAGCUUUUCAUUGUGAGAGAGUAAGGUUUACUCUGAUUAGGAUUCUAGAGAAAUCAAAGAGUGUGUUCUUGUGAUUAUCUCUUGUGUGUGUUAGGAAAUCUAAGGUGACAAACUAAAGUAGUUUAGAUCUUGUGUAAAACCUAUUAAGGUAGUUGUAAACUUCUUAAUCAGAUUUCUAAUAAAGUAAAACUCAGUGGUUCUGAGUUUGGGGAAUAUAGUUCUUGGUUCAUCCGGAUUUUCAGAUAUAACUCAAGAUGAACCCAAGUUUU